rnacentral:rRNA from 1 species
GACGAACGCUGGCGGCGUGCUUAACACAUGCAAGUCGAACGAAGAGCGAUGGAAGCUUGCUUCUAUCAAUCUUAGUGGCGAACGGGUGAGUCACGCGUAAUCAACCUGCCCUUCAGAGGGGGACAACAGUUGGAAACGACUGCUAAUACCGCAUACGAUCUAAUCUCGGCAUCGAGGAUAGAUGAAAGGUGGCCUCUACAUGUAAGCUAUCACUGAAGGCGGGGAUUGCGUCUGAUUAGCUAGUUGGAGGGGUAACGGCCCACCAAGGCGAGGAUCAGUAGCCGGUCUGAGAGGAUGAACGGCCACAUUGGGACUGAGACACGGCCCAGACUCCUACGGGAGGCAGCAGUGGGGAAUCUUCCGCAAUGGACGAAAGUCUGACGGAGCAACGCCGCGUGAGUGAUGACGGCCUUCGGGUUGUAAAGCUCUGUUAAUCGGGACGAAAGGCCUUCUUGCGAAUAGUGAGAAGGAUUGACGGUACCGGAAUAGAAAGCCACGGCUAACUACGUG